CUGGCAGUGAUUCACUGUCCGAGUUGUAAAUUGAAGAGAAUGUCAUCCACGCUGGACCACGUCUAAAUUGUAAUGAUCCACAGUCCUUUGAUGGAGUAUCAGAGAGGGUAAUAAUCCCGUCUUUAACGUGGACUGCCAGUGUUUCUGUGAUGCACUCUCUCAGAGUCGAGUAGUUUGGGAAUGCUGCUCUAAUGGGAGGUAAACUCCUUCUAAAGCUAAAUAUUGGCGAGAGACCGAUAGCGAACAAGUACCGUGAGGGAAAGAUGAAAAGAACUCUGAAAAGAGAGUCAAAUAGAACGUGAAAUUGCUGAAAGGGAAGCGUUUGGAGUCAGACGCGUCUUCAUGCAAUACAGCUCAGUGGCAGAGACUUGAGACAAGUUACUUGAAGACGGGCCAGCACUCACGAAGACCAUUGAAGAAGGGGUCAUGGAAUGUAGCUCAGUGCUGAGUGAUUAUAGCCUUGAUUCAAAAGCAAUGUGUCCUUUGUGAGAGAUGGACAGCACGACAACAGUUCA
rnacentral:rRNA from 1 species